AUUUGGGUAUUAGUUUAGAGAUUUAGAGUUUCGUCCUGAUAACAUGUUAUAAAAGUAAUGGAAAAGUUUUUCUUUAUUCAUAACAUAUAGGUUCCUUAUAUAGGAGAUUACACCGUCAUAGAUAAAUGAAAAGAUUAUAGAUUAUAAUCUCUUGAUUAUGAGCCAUCCACAAUCUAGUUCAUAACAAAAACCUAGAUUUGAGGAAGCUUUAGUAGCACUUAAAACGAAAGGUAUUAUAUUUUUUGUUUCACACCAGAAGAUGAUAUUAUAUUAGUCAAGAUUUGGGUGGACCAUCAACUACUACUUUGAUUUUUUUUUUUAAAUCAACUCCUACUUUUCAAACCGUAGACUACAUGUCAGAAUUAAAUCGUUUAUUUUCAAUUAUUUGCACAGACGUUAAAUAUUAGGUAGAUAGUGUAUCAUUAAUUAAUUAUCUAUUCUAUUAAAAUUUAAGUAUAAAACAAUACUUAUCUUUUUUAUGUGAUGUUUACAUCUUUUUCAUUACUUUCUAAAACUAAUUUUAACAAUUUCGCUUAUUUUUCACUAAAUAAUUAUACAUCAUUUAUUACAGAAGUACGAAAAAAACUUACCUAUUUUAAAAUGUUUUAUUACAUCUUUUA
rnacentral:lncRNA from 1 species